CCCAGGGCUGGGGUGUCUGCAGUGAUUAAGGCUGUGGGCUCUGGACCAGGCAGCUGGGACCUGAACCCUGGGUCUGCCCUUCCAUGCUGUCUCAGGGACGUGACUUACUCAUCUGUUAAAUGGGGACAACAGCAGUCUGUAUGCCAUAAACAGGUUGGGAGAUGAGAUUGAAUAGAGAAAAGUGCCAGGCACAGGGUGAACACUGGGAGUGGUGGCCUCCCCAAUGGUAAUGCUAAUCCAUGAACCCCUGACCGGGACCUUAUUUGGAAAAAGGGUCAUGGCCAGCGUCAUUAAGUUGACCUUGAGACCAGAUCCUUCUGGUCUCGGUUCUGUUAGAAAGGGGAUGACUGCCUAGUCAUCCAAAUGACAGAUGUCGAUUCCAGGGACAUGAGUCCCGUUGGAGGGAGAUGGGUGGUGGAUUCUUGGGGUCGGGGUGAGGUCACGGCUUCCCCGGGAGAGGCAGAGUCAGAGGGUAGUCUGGGAAGCAGGUGAGCACACCUGGGUCCUGACUGCCUGGGUGGGAUCAGGAAGGAGGAGGGUGUGGACGUGUAGAAAGAAGAAGAGCCCUCGGAGACGGCCUCACUUCCCAUAGAGGACUGCAGAAUGUGCUGGAAGAACCUAGUGCCCUGGAGUCACCUCUCACGGAGGUUUGAAGGACCUAGCACACUGGAAGGGCAGCGCCUUGCGGCUUUAGCUUCUUGCUCCUUGAAGGUGGAGACUGCUAGCCCUUACCUGGCUUCCUUUCUGUCUCUGGCUGAGAGUUUCAGGGGUGGGAUGGACAGGCCAUCGCAAGCAGCAGCUGCUCUGCUCCGCAUGCGCAAUGACGCAGGUGGGCUCCCCUUUGUUCUCAUAGCUGGGGAUACUGGUCCCCAGAAAGGUCCUGGCUGGGCCAUUCAGGGAGCUGGGGUGACAGGUGGGGACCACAGCCCUCCCAGGACCCAUCCUCCUCCCUGAGUCCUUCCCAUCCCUCCCUGCACCCCUGGAGGCAUCUGGUCUCCCGGGUGAAGACGCCGGGUAGGUCUCAUCACCUUACCGAUUUUUUUUUCCUCUGGCAGUUCUGAAUUCGUGGAUGCCCGGUCACCUGCUUACAGAAAUGGAAACUGGCUCAUAGAGUGAUUUAAACCCCAGACCUGAGGAUUACGUUCCAGGAAAGCAUGGGGCAAGGGUAUCUUUCCAUCUGGUUUAUGGCCUCCUUCACUGAGCGGCGCUGCCCUUGGCCUCACCGAGGUUUUAUAACCGGCUCUCAUUUCGGGUCCGGCAGAGACCCCCUCCGGAGUUGUACGGGGAGGACGCCAGCCCCCUGCUUUCCCUGUGAGCAGAUCUUUUCUCUCGCCUGAUCCAACAGUAGUGGAUCGUUUACCACUAGCGCCACCUGGGAAGCCCCAGGCCCCUCCUGGACAGCAGGAGUGAUUGAUGUCUUACCAGUUACGCCUGUAUCUGCGCUCUAGUUGGCCGUCUCCUCAGAGAAGGUGACCUUGGGAUUGGCCAUUACUGGACCCAGUGGGCUCCCCAGGAUUCAUCUGUAUUUCGCACUGGUCACGUGGCCUUGAACAAGUCACCCACCCUCUGGCCUGAGUUCGAUGACAUGAAGACCAUCAGUCAGAGUGCUUCCUGGGGCCUCUGAGUGGAUGAGAUGGAGCCAGUAUGGAGACAACUCAGCAAGGAUGCCAGUCAUAUUGGAUUAGUGCCACCCUGGAGGCUCAGAUGGUAA